AAUCAGGGAUCGCAAUAAUUUUAAAUUCCGAUUCAAUAUCACAUCAUAAAAUUAAGUUCACAAAUACGGAGUUUUAAUAUAUCACGUGAUUAAAUGUGACGCGGAAUUCAUUAGGCAGUAACAUCAUCGUCUGAUUCACAAUUGGUUUUGUAUUGUUUUGGUAGAGGGAUUAGAUUAUUCUUGUACACAUUUGAUAAUGUAAUGUCAACCAACGCAGAUGUGAUCUAAAGAAAAAGUUGUGACAUACCUUUGAAUUAUCGUGGUAGUGCUAGAGUGUAAUUUUUCUGAAUAAGUAUAACAUCCACAGCUGUUAUAACGGAGCAUGAAAAAAAUAAAUUGGAUAAAAUUUUAUUAAUGUAAUUACUCACAAAUCCAAUCAUCAGUAUUGGAAAAAAAAUUAAAGAUAUUUUGUUAUUUUAAUAAUAAUAAAAGUUUUAUUUGAAUAAAUUAUCAAUAUGAUGGAGGUGGAGGUACCCGAGUUUUCAUCAAAAGAUGAUGAGAUUCAGUAUUGGAUGGAGUUGGCACAACAAAUGUAUAAUAGAAAAGAAGAUGUGGAGCAUGAAUUUGAAGAGUUUCAAGAAAGUUCACAAAUGUUAGAAAAAGAAUUAGAAACAUCAUUAGAACAGUCAGAAAAGACAAUCAGAGAACUACGACAAAGGAACUCCAGACUUGCUACAGAAAUUGAGCAAUUAAGAUCCCGUUUAGAUCAACAAGCAUCUGAUUGUUCUGUAUUUCAGACACGUGCUUCUGAGCUUGAAGCACAACAUGAACAACUUUUAAAAUACAUUCGUGAAUUAGAGCAAAAAAAUGACGACUUGGAAAGAGCUCAUAGAAUAAAUCUUGCCUCAGAGGAAGCGAUUGAAGCUAAAUUUCAUUCAGCUAUCGAAAAAAAUGCUUUACUCGAAUCAGAACUUGAUGAAAAAGAAAACCUAAAGGUAUUAGUUCAAAGACUGAUGGACGAAAAUAGAGAUCUUAAACAAGAAAUUAAACACUUGAAAAGACAUAUGACAGAUAAUGAAAAAUCAUCUGAUAAGAUUCGAAACGUGGUGGACAGUAAUAAGCUGCAAGUGGAACUUGAAUCGACUACACCAGUCAUAACACCAUUAUCUCCUCAAAAUAUAUCUACUCAUCCGACUUCACCACCAUUUAAACUUACAAAUGGGGUCAUAAACAACAACAACAAUAACAACAUGAAUAUGCCAAUGUCACCGUCAGCAAAGAUCCAAGCAAUGAACUUGAUUGGCGAUUUAAUGAGAAAAGUCGGACUCGACAGGUGGGUCUGCAUGGAUUGUAGGAGGGUCAAGUGCUCUUGUCAAAGUGAGAAUAAAUCAGAUCUCGCGAAGCCAAAUCCAGUCAAAACAGCAAUUCAAUGUAUUAGUCAACAACCCAAGCCAACCAAGUGCUGAUUCUAUCCUGAUACCUCUUGUUGCACUACUGGCUUUACAUCUUGUUUGAAAAGCAGGCGGUGGAAAAGAAAUUAAAUACCUGCAGAAACGCAUCGCGAGAGGAUCAAGCAAUGAGAGAUUUGUACAGGACUGCCUCAAUUAGAAGACAAGUGCGAACCAUCCCUACAAGAAACAACAACCAUAUAUGACUAUAAAUUGA